rnacentral:rRNA from 1 species
GAUUUCUGGUGUGGUGCAGCAGGCCCGCAUGCGGAUUCGUGUGUGAGUGCCGGCUUGGCCUUGCCAUCCUUCUAGCUCAUUGGUCUCAUCUUAAUUGCUGGGGUCAAUGUUAGUCUAGAUCUUUUACUUUGAAAAAAUUAGAGUGUUUCAAGCAGGCUUUAUGCUAUGAAUACAUUAGCAUGGAAUAAUAAUUUAGGACUUCGGUUCUAUUUUGUUGGUUUCUAGGACUGAAGUAAUGAUUGAUAGGGAUAGUUGGGGGUGCUAGUAUUCAGCGGCCAGAGGUGAAAUUCUCGGAUUCGCUGAAGACUAACUUAUGCGAAAGCAUU